GACGAACGCUGGCGGCGUGCCUAAUACAUGCAAGUCGAACGCUUCUUUCCUCCCGAGUGCUUGCACUCAAUUGGAAAGAGGAGUGGCGGACGGGUGAGUAACACGUGGGUAACCUACCCAUCAGAGGGGGAUAACACUUGGAAACAGGUGCUAAUACCGCAUAACAGUUUAUGCCGCAUGGCAUAAGAGUGAAAGGCGCUUUCGGGUGUCGCUGAUGGAUGGACCCGCGGUGCAUUAGCUAGUUGGUGAGGUAACGGCUCACCAAGGCCACGAUGCAUAGCCGACCUGAGAAGGUGAUCGGCCACACUGGGACUGAGACACGGCCCAGACUCCUACGGGAGGCAGCAGUAGGGAAUCUUCGGCAAAGGACGAAAGUCUGACCGAGCAACGCCGCGUGAGUGAAGAAGGUUUUCGGAUCGUAAAACUCUGUUGUUAGAGAAGAACAAGGACGUUAGUAACUGAACGUCCCCUGGCGGUAUCUAACCAGAAAGCCACGGCUAACUACGUG
rnacentral:rRNA from 1 species